UGGUAUCACUAUUGCCAUGU
rnacentral:siRNA from 1 species